rnacentral:lncRNA from 1 species
AAUUAUAAAGUUAGGACUGCACUUCGUUUAUGACAAGGCAUGUUUGGAGCGAGCCCUCUUCAAAGUGAACGACAGCUUCGACGCCUACUUCACUGCACUCACAAGAGCCGCCCAGGAGUAUUUCAAGCUACAUGAUAGUCCAAAAAUCCGCCUCACACUUGUCGGAUCAUAGAAACUUGAGGAGGAAGACAUAAUUAAAAACACAACUAUAAACGGAACAAAUAAAUUAGACGCGGAGGAGGCUCUGAACAAGCUGGACGUGAUAAUGGCGUGGAAUGAAACACUGAAACCCGACGUCGACAUAGUGUUUCUUGCGACAGGGU